GGAGCUUCUGCAAGCGUUCUGCUACGGGCUAGAGAUCGGCGGGACUUGGAGAUGGCCGAGAACCUCUUCGAAGGCCUUCCACCGCCGAUUUCAGCGACAAACCCUUCGCCGGAGACCCAAUUACCAGAUGCAGCCACCAAGCAGAGUCGGCCCUCUGAUCCUUCUCCCAAUCCCGCCGCUUCUUCUUCUUCUUCUUCUCCG
rnacentral:misc_RNA from 1 species